UGUCAGUGCAGGUGCUAUACAUGCGAGUCGAGCGGACUUGCUGGAGCUUGCUCCAGCAGGUUAGCGGCGGACGGGUGAGUAACACGUGGGCAACCUGCCUGUAAGACUGGGAUAACUCCGGGAAACCGGAGCUAAUACCGGAUAGUAUCUUGAACCGCAUGGUUCAAGUUGGAAAGACGGUUUCGGCUGUCACUUACAGAUGGGCCCGCGGCGCAUUAGCUAGUUGGUGAGGUAAUGGCUCACCAAGGCAACGAUGCGUAGCCGACCUGAGAGGGUGAUCGGCCACACUGGGACUGAGACACGGCCCAGACUCCUACGGGAGGCAGCAGUAGGGAAUCUUCCGCAAUGGACGAAAGUCUGACGGAGCAACGCCGCGUGAGUGAUGAAGGUUUUCGGAUCGUAAAACUCUGUUGUUAGGGAAGAACAAGUGCGAGAGUAACUGCUCGCACCUUGACGGUACCUAACCAGAAAGCCACGGCUAACUACGUGCCAGCAGCCGCGGUAAUACGUAGGUGGCAAGCGUUGUCCGGAAUUAUUGGGCGUAAAGCGCGCGCAGGCGGUUUCUUAAGUCUGAUGUGAAAGCCCCCGGCUCAACCGGGGAGGGUCAUUGGAAACUGGGAAACUUGAGUGCAGAAGAGGAGAGUGGAAUUCCACGUGUAGCGGUGAAAUGCGUAGAGAUGUGGAGGAACACCAGUGGCGAAGGCGACUCUCUGGUCU
rnacentral:rRNA from 1 species